rnacentral:rRNA from 1 species
GUGGGGAAUAUUCCGCAAUGGACGAAAGUCUGACGGAGCAACGCCGCGUGAGUGAUGAAGGUUUUCGGACUGUAAAGCUCUGUUGUUUAGGACGAAAGUGCCUGUUGCAAAUAGUUACAGGUAUUGACGGUACUGAACGAGGAAGCCACGGCUAACUACGUGCCAGCAGCCGCGGUAAUACGUAGGUGGCAAGCGUUGUCCGGAAUUAUUGGGCGUAAAGAGCAUGUAGGCGGGAAUCUAAGUCUGUUGUGAAAAUGCGGGGCUCAACCCCGUAUUGCGAUGGAAACUGGGUUUCUUGAGUGCAGGAGAGGAAAGGGGAAUUCCCAGUGUAGCGGUGAAAUGCGUAGAUAUUGGGAGGAACACCAGUGGCGAAGGCGCCUUUCUGGACUGUGUCUGACGCUGAGAUGCGAAAGCCAGGGUAGCGAACGAGAUUAGAAACCCGUGUAGUCC